rnacentral:rRNA from 1 species
CCUACGGGAGGCAGCAGUGGGGAAUUUUGGACAAUGGGGGCAACCCUGAUCCAGCAAUGCCGCGUGAGUGAAGAAGGCCUUCGGGUUGUAAAGCUCUUUUGUCAGGGAAGAAACGGUGUUUCCUAAUACGGAAUGCUAAUGACGGUACCUGAAGAAUAAGCACCGGCUAACUACGUGCCAGCAGCCGCGGUAAUACGUAGGGUGCAAGCGUUAAUCGGAAUUACUGGGCGUAAAGCGUGCGCAGGCGGUUUUAUAAGUCUGAUGUGAAAUCCCCGGGCUCAACCUGGGAACUGCAUUGGAGACUGUAAGGCUAGAGUGUGUCAGAGGGGGGUAGAAUUCCACGUGUAGCAGUGAAAUGCGUAGAUAUGUGGAGGAAUACCGAUGGCGAAGGCAGCCCCUCGGGAGUAACACUGACGCUCAUGCACGAAAGACGUGGGGAGGCAAACAGGAUUAGAUACCUCGGUAGUCCACGCCCUAAACCGAAUGUCUACUAGUUGUCGGGUCUUAAUUGACUUGGUAACGCAGCUAACGCGUGAAGUAGACCGCCUGGGGAGGUACGGUACGCGAGAAGUAAAUUAAAAGUAAAGUAGUAGACGNGAGAGAGCGACGACGACGACGAGGAGGAGGAG